rnacentral:rRNA from 1 species
GACGAACGCUGGCGGCGUGCUUAACACAUGCAAGUCGAACGGAAAGGCCCUGCUUUUGUGGGGUGCUCGAGUGGCGAACGGGUGAGUAACACGUGAGUAACCUGCCCUUGACUUUGGGAUAACUUCAGGUAACUGGGGCUAAUACCGGAUAGGAGCUCCUGCUGCAUGGUGGGGGUUGGAACGUUUCGGCGGUUGGGGAUGGACUCGCGGCUUAUCAGCUUGUUGGUGGGGUAGUGGCUUACCAAGGCUUUGACGGAUAGCCGGCCUGAGAGGGUGACCGGCGACAUUGGGACUGAGAUACGGCCCAGACUGCUACGGGAGGCAGCAGUGGGGAAUAUUGCACAAUGAGCGGAAGCCUGAUGCAGCAGCGCCGCGGGCGGGAUGACGGCCUGCGGGUAGUGAACCGCUGUCGCCUGUGACGAAGCGUGAGUGACGGUAAUGGAUAAAGAAGCACCGGCUAACUACGUG